UGCUCCGCCGGCGGGCCCCGCUCCGCCUCGGGGAGCGCCCGUACCGCGCCCUGCCGCGGAGUUCGUAAGGGAGCGCUUCACUUUUCUCCUAUGAAACCAAUGGUUUUGCUGAGAACAUCCACUUUUCUGCACAACCACCCAGCAUAUGUGGAGGCCGAAUUCAUGAGCUAAAUCUCUUCAGAACUGGCUCAACAUUUGAAAUUCUGUGUGUUGGCAAGUUCAUGGAAAAUGACUGGUACUUGGUAGUUCUGACUUACUGCAUGGCACAAGAGCCACUGCUGUCCUUCUCACUUUGGAGCUCCCAGUUCACUUUGUCUUCCUGAAAGCAGGCUUGGCUGUUCUGUCACAGAGCAGCUUUCUCUGAGCCACUGUGAAACAUGCUGCUUCACUUCAUACACACUUCCAGAAAUAAAGGCAGGAGAAUCCUGAUGUGAUGUUCUGAUAGAG